rnacentral:rRNA from 1 species
CGGACGGGUGAGUAACGCGUGGGUAACCUGCCUUGUACUGGGGGACAACAGUUGGAAACGACUGCUAAUACCGCAUAAGCGCACAGCUUCGCAUGAAGCAGUGUGAAAAACUCCGGUGGUACAAGAUGGACCCGCGUCUGAUUAGCUGGUUGGUGAGGUAACGGCUCACCAAGGCGACGAUCAGUAGCCGGCUUGAGAGAGUGAACGGCCACAUUGGGACUGAGACACGGCCCAAACUCCUACGGGAGGCAGCAUG